UAAGGAAUAUUGGUCAAUGGAGGCAACUCUGAACCAGCCAUGCCGCGUGCAGGAAGACGGCCCUCUGGGUUGUAAACUGCUUUUAUUCGGGAAUAAACCUGCUUACGUGUAAGUAGCUGAAUGUACCGAAGGAAUAAGGAUCGGCUAACUCCGUGCCAGCAGCCGCGGUAAUACGGAGGAUCCAAGCGUUAUCCGGAUUUAUUGGGUUUAAAGGGUGCGUAGGCGGCUUAUUAAGUCAGGGGUGAAAGACGGUGGCUCAACCAUCGCAGUGCCCUUGAUACGGAUGAGCUUGAAUGAUCUAGAGGUAUGCGAAAUGUGACAAGUAGCGGUGAAAUGCAUAGAUAUGUCACAGAACACCGAUUGCGAAGGCAGCUUACUAUGGUUUUAUUGACGCUGAGGCACGAAAGCGUGGAGAUCAAACA
rnacentral:rRNA from 1 species